rnacentral:ribozyme from 12 species
AAACCAAAAGCAUCAAAAGAAAACGGCAAAUAAAAGUCCAAAGUACAGCUGGGACAUAUGACUCAUGGAAAUCCAUCUUUGUUUUGUUUUUUCCCUCCUUCUUUUUUUCCUUCUUCUUCCUGCUCCUUC